rnacentral:rRNA from 1 species
GAUCAUGGCUCAGGAUAAACGCUAGCGGCAGGCCUAACACAUGCAAGUCGAGGGGCAGCGGGUGGAGUAUUUCGGUACUCCUGCCGGCGACCGGCGCACGGGUGCGUAACGCGUAUGCAACCUACCUUUAACAGGGGGAUAAUCCGAAGAAAUUUGGUCUAAUACCCCAUAAUAUCAUUUAAGGCAUCUUAGAUGGUUGAAAAUUACCGAUGGUUAGAGAUGGGCGAUGCGUUGUAUUAGCUAGUUGGUGAGG